UUUUGCAUAUCCCAAUAGCGGAGGAAAAGAAACCAACAGGGAUUGCCUCAGUUAGCGGCGAGUGAAGCGGCAAGAGCUCAGAUUUGAAAUCGUGCUUUGCGGCACGAGUUGUAGAUUGCAGGUUGGAGUCUGUGUGGAAGGCGGUGUCCAAGUCCCUUGGAACAGGGCGCCCAGGAGGGUGAGAGCCCCGUGGGAUGCCGGCGGAAGCAGUGAGGCCCUUCUGACGAGUCGAGUUGUUUGGGAAUGCAGCUCCAAGCGGGUGGUAAAUUCCAUCUAAGGCUAAAUACUGGCGAGAGACCGAUAGCGAACAAGUACUGUGAAGGAAAGAUGAAAAGCACUUUGAAAAGAGAGUGAAACAGCACGUGAAAUUGUUGAAAGGGAAGGGUAUUGCGCCCGACAUGGGGAUUGCGCACCGCUGCCUCUCGUGGGCGGCGCUCUGGGCUUUCCCUGGGCCAGCAUCGGUUCUUGCUGCAGGAGAAGGGGUUCUGGAACGUGGCUCUUCGGAGUGUUAUAGCCAGGGCCAGAUGCUGCGUGCGGGGACCGAGGACUGCGGCCGUGUAGGUCACGGAUGCUGGCAGAACGGCGCAACACCGCCCGUCUUAAAAACCCGGGACCAAA
rnacentral:rRNA from 1 species